GAUGAACGCUGGCGGCGUGCCUAAUACAUGCAAGUCGAGCGAACGGACGAGAAGCUUGCUUCUCUGAUGUUAGCGGCGGACGGGUGAGUAACACGUGGAUAACCUACCUAUAAGACUGGGAUAACUUCGGGAAACCGGAGCUAAUACCGGAUGAUAUUUUGAACCGCAUGGUUCAAAAGUGAAAGACGGUCUUGCUGUCACUUAUAGAUGGAUCCGCGCUGCAUUAGCUAGUUGGUAAGGUAACGGCUUACCAAGGCAACGAUGCAUAGCCGACCUGAGAGGGUGGUCGGCCACACUGGAACUGAGACACGGUAAAGACUCCUACGGGAGGCAGCAGUAGGGAAUCUUCCGCAAUGGGCGAAAGCCUGACGGAGCAACGCCGCGUGAGUGAUGAAGGUCUUCGGAUCGUAAAACUCUGUUAUUAGGGAAGAACAUAUGUGUAAGUAACUGUGCACAUCUUGACGGUACCUAAUCAGAAAGCCACGGCUAACUACGUG
rnacentral:rRNA from 1 species